AGAACUCAAAGGAAUUGACGGGGCCCCGCACAAGCAGCGGAGCAUGCGGCUUAAUUCGACGCAACGCGAAGAACCUUACCAAGGCUUGACAUAUACAGGAAUAUGGCAGAGAUGUCAUAGCCGCAAGGUCUGUAUACAGGUGGUGCAUGGUUGUCGUCAGCUCGUGUCGUGAGAUGUUGGGUUAAGUCCCGCAACGAGCGCAACCCUCGUUCUGUGUUGCCAGCAUUUAGUUGGGGACUCACAGGAGACUGCCGGGGUUAACUCGGAGGAAGGUGGGGAUGACGUCAAAUCAUCAUGCCCCUUAUGUCUUGGGCUGCACGCAUGCUACAAUGGCUGGUACAAACGGCUGCAAUACCGCAAGGUGGAGCGAAUCCGAGAAAGCCAGUCUCAGUUCGGAUUGGGGUCUGCAACUCGACCCCAUGAAGUCGGAGUUGCUAGUAAUCGUAGAUCAGCAACGCUACGGUGAAUACGUUCCCGGGGCUUGUACACACCGCCCGUCACGUCACGAAAGUCGGUAACACC
rnacentral:rRNA from 1 species